CGCUGGCGGCGUGCCUAAUACAUGCAAGUCGAACGCACUCUCGUUUAGAUUGAAGGAGCUUGCUCCUGAUUGAUAAACAUUUGAGUGAGUGGCGGACGGGUGAGUAACACGUGGGUAACCUGCCCUAAAGUGGGGGAUAACAUUUGGAAACAGAUGCUAAUACCGCAUAAAACCUAACACCGCAUGGUGUAGGGUUGAAAGAUGGUUUCGGCUAUCACUUUAGGAUGGACCCGCGGUGCAUUAGUUAGUUGGUGAGGUAAAGGCUCACCAAGACCGUGAUGCAUAGCCGACCUGAGAGGGUAAUCGGCCACACUGGGACUGAGACACGGCCCAGACUCCUACGGGAGGCAGCAGUAGGGAAUCUUCCACAAUGGACGAAAGUCUGAUGGAGCAACGCCGCGUGAGUGAAGAAGGUUUUCGGAUCGUAAAACUCUGUUGUUGGAGAGGAAUGUAUCUGAUAGUAACUGAUCAGGUAGUGACGGUAUCCAACCAGAAAGCCACGGCUAACUACGUG
rnacentral:rRNA from 1 species